rnacentral:piRNA from 1 species
UUUUGAAUAAAAUUGUUUGAA